CAACGAUAAACAUACAAAAAUCGAUAAACAUUACGUAAAAAAACUAUUACAUGAUAAAUAUAUAUCGAUUAAACAUUAUUUACUAAAAAACCUAUUAGCAUAAUAACUCAAUAUUCGCCAAUCACAUCACAUAGUGCUCGGGUCGGUGUUCAGGUCUGCGCUCGGGUUGGUGUUCGCGUUGGCUAUCGGGUCGAUGCUCAGGUCGGUGCUUGGGUAGAUGAUCGGGUCUAGUGUUGCGUAAUCGGCUAAAAACAACGCCUAAGUCUAAAAAUCAGCUAAAACUAAAUUAGUCAAAAAUUCUGCAUCGGCUAAUCGUCCGUCAGCGUUCUUUAUAACAAUCGGAAUGAAAAUGGAUAUGAUCAUUACUGAUAGACCCUAAUGAUAUAUCAACCCACACUCAACGUAUUGAGCGUUUAUGGGAGGAUCUUAAAGCAAGCAUCUCCAGAAAUAAUAUGUGAAUAUUCCUAUUUUCGUAUAUAAAUAAAUUAAUUAAAUUUUGAAAUGAU